GCUGCAAUCGCCGUAAUUGUUAUGUUCGGCGGUUAACGUGCACGUGUGGAUGUUUUGUGUCGUACUAUUCAAGCUCAGAAGGCAGAAAUCAACGAGGAGGAGAGUGAGACUGAUGAAAAUCUGUGACGCAUACCGGCAGCUUACAAGUCCAGCUCAGUUGUGUGUAGGGAAUGCAGUGGCACAGCUAGCCAUUUCCAGAUCUGGAGUCACCACUCUCGAUUGGCCACAGAAACCCGUGACCUGGCACUGCUAUCCGCCUCAGUUGCCAACAUCCACUGCAUCUGUCAGACACUCUCGUCCGCCUCUGUCGCCUGGUCCAGAAACAUCAGCAUGUAGAACCAGUACACUUGCAGAGUGUUUGCCGCCUGUGCACUGGCUCCACUUUUGCUUUUAUGUAUCUGCAAUAAUAGUAAUGAACAUAAUGUAA